GACGAACGCUGGCGGCGUGCUUAACACAUGCAAGUCGAACGGAAAGGCCCUGCUUUUGUGGGGUGCUCGAGUGGCGAACGGGUGAGUAACACGUGAGUAACCUGCCCUUGACUUUGGGAUAACUUCAGGAAACUGGGGCUAAUACCGGAUAGGAGCUCCUGCUGCAUGGUGGGGGUUGGAAAGUUUCGGCGGUUGGGGAUGGACUCGCGGCUUAUCAGCUUGUUGGUGGGGUAGUGGCUUACCAAGGCUUUGACGGGUAGCCGGCCUGAGAGGGUGACCGGCAGAAGGGGGCAGGAGGGAGGCCAGAGCGCCAGGGGGGAGGCAGGAGGGGGAAUGUGGGAAGAGGGGGGGGAGGCGGGAAACCGCAAGCCCGUGGGGGGGAGGCCGGCCUGGGGUUGGGAAAACGUUUGCGCCGGUGAAGAAGCGUGGGGGAGGGUAGGGGGUAAAGAGACACGGCCAAACUAGGUC
rnacentral:rRNA from 1 species